rnacentral:rRNA from 1 species
CUGGCGGUGUGCCUCAUACAUGCAAGUCGAACGAUAAGGUCUCUUCGGAGAUACAUAAGUGGCGGACGGGUGAGUAAUAUGUAGGGAAUCUGCCCCAGAGAGGGGGACAACAGAGGGAAACUUCUGCUAAUACCCCAUACGAGCUUGGUUGAAAUACCAAUCUUGAAAACUCCGGUGCUCUGGGAUGAGCCUGCAUCUGAUUAGCUAGUUGGUGGUGUAAUGGACCACAAAGGCGACGAUCAGUAGCUGGUUUGAGAGGAUGAUCAGCCACAAUGGGACUGAGACACGGCCCAUACUCCUACGGGAGGCAGCAGUAGGGAAUUUUGCGCAAUGGGGGAAACCCUGACGCAGCAACACCGCGUGAAUGUUAAGCCCUUCGGGGUAUAAAGUUCUGUCAAUGGGGAAGAAUUAAUGACUGUACCCAUAAAGGAAGCACCGGCUAACUCCGUGCCAGCCGCUGC